rnacentral:tRNA from 1 species
GCCUGGCUGGCUCAGUUGGUAGAGCAUGCGACUUGUGAUCUCAGGGUCAUAAGUUCAAGCCCUACGUUGGGUA